rnacentral:tRNA from 1 species
AGGGGUAUAUCUCAGUGGUAGAGUACUGGCCUAGCAUGCAUGAGGUCCUGGGUUCAAUUCCUAGUUCCACCA